AGCGAACGCUGGCGGCAGGCCUAACACAUGCAAGUCGAGCGAGAAAGUGACUUCGGUCAUUAUUAAAGCGGCGGACGGGUGAGUACAACUUGGAUAACCUACCUUUAGGCCUGGGAUAACUUCGGGAAACCGUUGCUAAUACCGGAUAAGACCACGAUAUCUUCGGAUAACGGGGUAAAGAUUUAUCGCCUAUUGACGGGUCCAAGUACCAUCAGGUUGUUGGUGAGGUAAAGGCUCACCAAGCCUAAGACGGUUAGCCGGCCUUAGCGGGUGAUCGGCCACACGGGGACUGAGACACGGCCCCGACUCCUACGGGAGGCAGCAGUGGGGAAUAUUGGGCAAUGGGCGCAAGCCUGACCCAGCCAUGCCGCGUGAGGGAUGAAGGCCUUCGGGUCGUAAACCUCUGUCAGGAGGGACGAUGGGACUUUGUCUUGACGGUACCUCCAGAGGAAGCCCCGGCUAACUCCGUGCCAGCCGCCGCGGUAAUU
rnacentral:rRNA from 1 species